rnacentral:lncRNA from 1 species
UAAAACCUUCAACGUUAUCAUGUGAAUGCAGUGACCAAUAUACCAGUGAAUCUUCCUCCCAUAGCUCGCAUCUUUAUUUUUAACAAAACAGAGAAAAACAUAUAAAGAUAUGUAUAAGAUUUGGAAUGCAAAGAAAGGAGGGAACGCUUUUAUACUUAUCAUGACCUGUUGCCUCGACAGAAAUCAAAUACUGGUGGAAAGAAAAUAAGUUUCGCAAACGUCUCAGGAUCUCUCAUCUUCGAUGGCUUAAUGAUUUUUGAUGACUUUUCACCUUCAGAGUAUAUGAAAUACCCCUCUGCUCCUUG